rnacentral:rRNA from 1 species
CCUACGGUGUGCUGCAGUGAGGAAUAUUGGUCAAUGGGCGGGAGCCUGAACCAGCCAAGUCGCGUGAGGGAAGACGGUCCUAUGGAUUGUAAACCUCUUUAGGCGGGGAGCAAUGCCGGGCACGUGUGCCCGGAGGGAGAGUACCCGCAGAAUAAGCAUCGGCUAACUCCGGGCCAGCAGCCGCGGUCAUACGGAGGAUGCGAGGGUUAUCAGGAUUUAUUGGGUUAAAAGGGUGCGUAGGCGGAUUUUUAAGUCAUGGGUAAAAUGUCCGGGCUCAACCCGGGCCGGCCGUUGAAACUGGGGAUCUUGAGUGGGCGAGAAGUAUGCGGAAUGCGUGGGGUCGCGGUGAAAUGCAUAGAUAUCACGCAGAACUCCGAUUGCGAAGGCAGCAUACCGGCGCCCGACUGACGCUGAGGCACGAAAGCGUGGGGAUCGAACAGGAGUAGAUACCCUUGUAGUC